rnacentral:rRNA from 1 species
UGCAAGUCGAACGAUGAUCCCAGCUUGCUGGGGGAUUAGUGGCGAACGGGUGAGUAACACGUGAGUAACCUGCCCUUGACUCUGGGAUAAGCCUGGGAAACUGGGUCUAAUACCGGAUAUGACUCCUCAUCGCAUGGUGGGGGGUGGAAAGCUUUUGUGGUUUUGGAUGGACUCGCGGCCUAUCAGCUUGUUGGUGGGGUAAUGGCCUACCAAGGCGACGACGGGUAGCCGGCCUGAGAGGGUGACCGGCCACACUGGGACUGAGACACGGCCCAGACUCCUACGGGAGGCAGCAGUGGGGAAUAUUGCACAAUGGGCGCAAGCCUGAUGCAGCGACGCCGCGUGAGGGAUGACGGCCUUCGGGUUGUAAACCUCUUUCAGUAGGGAAGAAGCGAAAGUGACGGUACCUGCAGAAGAAGCGCCGGCUAACUACGUGCCAGCAGCCGCGGUAAUACGUAGGGCGCAAGCGUUAUCCGGAAUUAUUGGGCGUAAAGAGCUCGUAGGCGGUUUGUCGCGUCUGCUGUGAAAGACCGGGGCUCAACUCCGGUUCUGCAGUGGGUACGGGCAGACUAGAGUGCAGUAGGGGAGACUGGAAUUCCUGGUGUAGCGGUGAAAUGCGCAGAUAUCAGGAGGAACACCGAUGGCGAAGGCAGGUCUCUGGGCUGUAACUGACGCUGAGGAGCGAAAGCAUGGGGAGCGAACAGGAUUAGAUACCCUGGUAGUCCAUGCCGUAAACGUUGGGCACUAGGUGUGGGGGACAUUCCACGUUUUCCGCGCCGU